rnacentral:lncRNA from 1 species
CUGGGUAUAUUAUGGGUAUAUUAGCAAGCAAGCCUAUAUUAGCAAGCAAGCCCAUAUAAUAGGCCCAAAUGGUCUCAAUAAUAUUUUGCAUAAAGAAAAAGAUAAAAUUAUAUUAUCAUCAUCACCUUCACCUUCACAUGGCGAUAGUGCAAUUCAUGAUGAUAUUCCAUUAUUAAAGUCAAAAGAUAAAAGAUAAAUCAAAGAAAAGAAAUGUGAAGAUAAAAAGAAAAAAGUAAAAAGAAGGACAACUCAUCGUCCUCAUCUUCUUGUAAAAGGCAGAAGGAACCUUAUUCCUUCAAUUUGAUCUCAUAAACGAGUGGCA